rnacentral:rRNA from 1 species
UGGGGAAUUUUGGACAAUGGGCGAAAGCCUGAUCCAGCAAUGCCGCGUGUGUGAAGAAGGCCUUCGGGUUGUAAAGCACUUUUGUCCGGAAAGAAAUCCUUGGCUCUAAUACAGUCGGGGGAUGACGGUACCGGAAGAAUAAGCACCGGCUAACUACGUGCCAGCAGCCGCGGUAAUACGUAGGGUGCAAGCGUUAAUCGGAAUUACUGGGCGUAAAGCGUGCGCAGGCGGUUGCUAAGACCGAUGUGAAAUCCCCGGGCUCAACCUGGGAACUGCAUUGGUGACUGGCAGGCUAGAGUAUGGCAGAGGGGGGUAGAAUUCCACGUGUAGCAGUGAAAUGCGUAGAGAUGUGGAGGAAUACCGAUGGCGAAGGCAGCCCCCUGGGCCAAUACUGACGCUCAUGCACGAAAAGCGUGGGGGAGCAAAACAGGAUUAGAUACCCUGGUAGUCCACGCCCUAAACGAUGUCAACUAGUUGUUGGGGAUUCAUUUCCUUAGUAACGUAGCUAACGCGUGAAGUUGACCGCCUGGGGAGUACGGUCGCAAGAUUAAAACUCAAAGGAAUUGACGGGGUCAUAGCUGUUUCC